rnacentral:misc_RNA from 1 species
GUGAAUCAUCAAAUCUUUGAACGCAAAUUGCACUCUCCGGUUUUCCGGGAGAGUAUGCCUGUUUAGGAUUCAUCCUAAAAAAAAUCGACAGUUUUGCUGUUUUAUUUUGACUUUCGUCGGGGAUGGGUUAGCUUAAAUCUCGGUUUAAGCGACUUAAAAAUUGUUUUUGCAUUUUAAGAAUUUUUGGAAUGUUUUGUCUUGUGCUUUAAGGUAAU